AUGCAACUGGACAACCACACACAUGCUCAGAUGAUGUGGACGCUGUUGUGUAUGUCCGGUGGUCUGCAGUACAUGGGACAUACUAGCCACGACUGGGUAAACAAGAAACAUAAGUUUGCCAGAGAAGAGUCUGAAGAUGAUGUCAAGAAACUUCUGGAUUUCUUCGAGAAAAUGCGGAAGAUAAACCCAGAGUUCUUCUAUGAUUAUGACGUUGAUGCAGAUAACCGUGUAAGAAAUGUCUUUUGGGUGAACGCAAGUUGCAAAGGAUGGUAUGAAGAUUUUGGAGACUGCAUUACAUUUGACACGACGUAUAAAACUAACAAAUUCCACAUGCCGCUGGGAGUCUUUGUGGGGGUGAACCAUCAUCUAUAG
rnacentral:rRNA from 1 species